UACGUAGGGGGCGAGCGUGGUCCGGAUUUAUUGGGCGUAAAGAGCUCGUAGGCGGUUCGAUAAGUCGGACGUGAAAUCUCCACGCUCAACGUGGAGGGGCCGUUCGAUACUGUCGUGACUCGAGUCCGGUAGGGGAGUGUGGAAUUCCCGGUGUAGCGGUGAAAUGCGCAGAGAUCGGGAGGAACACCCGUAGCGAAGGCGGCACUCUGGGCCGGUACUGACGCUGAGGAGCGAAAGCGUGGGGAGCAAACAGG
rnacentral:rRNA from 1 species